ACGGGUGAGUAACACGUGGGCAACCUGCCCUUGAGACUGGGAUAACUUCGGGAAACCGGAGCUAAUACCGGAUAAUAUAAGGAACCUCCUGGUUCCUUGUUGAAAGAUGGUUUCGGCUAUCACUUAAGGAUGGGCCCGCGGCGCAUUAGCUAGUUGGUGAGGUAACGGCUCACCAAGGCGACGAUGCGUAGCCGACCUGAGAGGGUGAUCGGCCACACUGGGACUGAGACACGGCCCAGACUCCUACGGGAGGCAGCAGUAGGGAAUCUUCCACAAUGGACGAAAGUCUGAUGGAGCAACGCCGCGUGAGUGAUGAAGGCCUUCGGGUCGUAAAGCUCUGUCGUUAGGGAAGAACAAGUGCGAGAGUAACUGCUCGUACCUUGACGGUACCUAACCAGAAAGCCACGGCUAACUACGUGCCAGCAGCCGCGGUAAUACGUAGGUGGCAAGCGUUAUCCGGAAUUAUUGGGCGUAAAGCGCGCGCAGGUGGUUUCUUAAGUCUGAUGUGAAAGCCCACGGCUCAACCGUGGAGGGUCAUUGGAAACUGGGGAACUUGAGUGCAGAAGAGGAAAGUGGAAUUCCA
rnacentral:rRNA from 1 species